rnacentral:rRNA from 1 species
AACGAACGCUGGCGGCAUGCCUAACACAUGCAAGUCGAACGAGACCUUCGGGUCUAGUGGCGCACGGGUGCGUAACGCGUGGGAACCUGCCCUUAGGUUCGGAAUAACUCCCCGAAAGGGGUGCUAAUACCGGUUAAGUUCUUCGAACAAAGGAUUUAUUGCCUUUGGAUGGGCCCGCGUUGGAUUAGCUGGUUGGUAGGGUAAAAGCCUACCAAGGCGACGAUCCAUAGCUGGUCUGAGAGGAUGAUCAGCCACACUGGGACUGAGACACGGCCCAGACUCCUACGGGAGGCAGCAGUGGGGAAUAUUGGACAAUGGGCGAAAGCCUGAUCCAGCAAUGCCGCGUGAGUGAUGAAGGCCUUAGGGUUGUAAAGCUCUUUUACCCGGGAUGAUAAUGACAGUACCGGGAGAAUAAGCUCCGGCUAACUCCGUG